rnacentral:rRNA from 1 species
GCGAAGCUGACGGUACACGCCGCGUGAGGGAUGAAGGCCUCUGGGCUGUAAACCUCUUUUCUCAAGGGAAGAAGAUCUGACGGUACUUGAGGAAUAAGCCACGGCUAAUUCCGUGCCAGCAGCCGCGGUAAUACGGGAGUGGCAAGCGUUAUCCGGAAUUAUUGGGCGUAAAGCGUCCGCAGGCGGCCUUACAAGUCUGUCGUUAAAGCGUGGAGCUUAACUCCAUUUAAGCGAUGGAAACUGUAUGGCUAGAGUGUGGUAGGGGCAGAGGGAAUUCCCGGUGUAGCGGUGAAAUGCGUAGAUAUCGGGAAGAGCACCAGUGGCGAAGGCGCUCUGCUGGGCCAUAACUGACGCUCAUGGACGAAAGCCAGGGGAGCGAAAGGGAUUAGAUACCCCUGUAGUCCUGGCCGUAAACGAUGAACACUAGGUGUCGGGGGAAUCGACCCCCUCGGUGUCGUAGCCAACGCGUUAAGUGUUCCGCCUGGGGAGUACGCACGCAAGUGCGAAACUCAAAGGAAUUGACGGGGGCCCGCACAAGCGGUGGAGUAUGUGGUUUAAUUCGAUGCAACGCGAAGAACCUUACCAGGGUUUGACAUCCUGCGAAUCCCUUGGAAACGAGGGAGUGCCUUCGGGAACGCAGAGACAGGUGGUGCAUGGCUGUCGUCAGC